CCUACGGGAGGCUGCAGUGGGGAAUAUUGGACAAUGGGGGGAACCCUGAUCCAGCGACGCCGCGUGAGUGAAGAAGUAUUUCGGUAUGUAAAGCUCUAUCAGCAGGGAAGAAAAUGACAGUACCUGACCAAGAAGCCCCGGCUAACUACGUGCCAGCAGCCGCGGUAAUACGUAGGGGGCAAGCGUUAUCCGGAUUUACUGGGUGUAAAGGGAGCGUAGACGGUUAUGUAAGUCUGGAGUGAAAGCCCGGGGCCCAACCCCCGGACUGCUUUGGAAACUGUAUGGCUGGAGUGCAGGAGAGGUAAGUGGAAUUCCUAGUGUAGCGGUGAAAUGCGUAGAUAUUAGGAGGAACACCAGUGGCGAAGGCGGCUUACUGGACUGUAACUGACGUUGAGGCUCGAAAGCGUGGGGAGCAAACAGGAUUAGAUACCCUUGUAGUC
rnacentral:rRNA from 1 species